CCAUUUUAUUCCUUCAAUAUCACGUCACUAUUUAAUAAGUGCCUACAGGUAUCAAGAGUACAUGAAGAAGAUGCAAAUACCCUACCCUCCUAGUCAAGUUGUGGACAGAGAUGAUAAGCAAAGAGUAAGUAGAAGGCACUGUCUAUGAGGCAGUGACAAGUGCCAUGGUUUAGGGCAGGAGACCAACCAUGACAAGCAGAGGAGUGAUCGGGGGAAGGAGAAGGAAAAAGGGAAGAGUGACGUCCUGGUAGCCGAGUACAAAAGGCUUUUCAAGGAGGAAAGAAAGACCAACUAGAUCAGGUGGCAACGUGAAGGCCAUGAUGACCUUAACAAAGGCAGUUCUGCAGGAGAAGCAGGGAUGCUAGUCUGGCUGAAGUGGGUUCAAGGAAAAUAAGGGGAAUUGGAGACAUUAGGUAUAGACAACUCUUUAGGGGAAAUUUAUGUUUCUGAACAUCCUGUUUUAUUUCAAGGUUGGGGCAAACACUGACCGUGAAAUGACGUGUGAAGGGCAAUACUCGGACCUUCCUGCCAGCAAUAUCAAAUAACAAGAGGCUGAGUGACUCCCUGUGCGAGCAUGAAAGGACAAAUGGCGAAGGAAGCAGCACCGCUCUGCUGAGAAAAUCUCUGUCUUUGAUACAUCUCCUCAACUCACACAUCAAAUGGGCUCACACCCUCUUGGGUCCUUGAGUUAUUUUCUAAUCUCUAAAGUUUUGAAAACAAACAAAAAACCCUAAACAAACCCAAAAACAUUCC
rnacentral:lncRNA from 1 species